rnacentral:rRNA from 1 species
GACGAACGCUGGCGGCGUGCUUAACACAUGCAAGUCGAACGGAAAGGCCCUGCUUUUGUGGGGUGCUCGAGUGGCGAACGGGUGAGUAACACGUGAGUAACCUGCCCUUGACUUUGGGAUAACUUCAGGAAACUGGGGCUAAUACCGGAUAGGAGCUCCUGCUGCAUGGUGGGGGUUGGAAAGUUUCGGCGGUUGGGGAUGGACUCGCGGCUUAUCAGCUUUUUUGUGGGGUAGUGGCUUACCAAGGCUUUGACGGGUAGCCGGCCUGUGAGGGUGACCGGAGACAUUGGGACUGAGAUACGGCACAGACUCGUACGGGAGGCAGCAGUGGGGAAUAUUGCACAAUGGGCGGAAGCCUGAUGCAGCAACGCCGCGUGCGGGAUGACGGCCUUCGGGUUGUAAACCGAUUUCGCCUGUGACGAAGCGUGAGUGACGGUAAUGGGUAAAGAAGCACCGGCUAACUACGUG